rnacentral:tRNA from 5 species
GCACCCCUAGCUCAAUUGGAUAGAGCAUCGGUCUACGGAACCGAAGGUUACUGGUUCGAGCCCAGUGGGGUGUA